rnacentral:lncRNA from 1 species
UUAGAAUUGAAACACGAAUUGACUCCAAAACCUUUUUUUCUUUAUAGGUGCUGGCAAGGGAAGCCAGAGUCUCACACACAUGAGACAAAUGCUCAGCCACUGAGCUCCAGCCCCAGCCCCCAGCCCUAGAAUCUUAUAGCCUCGCUCCUCCCGAUGAGCUGCGUCAGAAGUGGAGGAAAGCGAAGGCACUGACCCUGGCCUACUAGUUCAUCGUCAUGGCCAGGUGUCCAGGCCUGGAGUGAAACUGAGGGUGGGACAUUGGGCUGGGGAGGAGGAGGAUGAGCUGCUGGGGUGUUUUCCAGUCCUGCAAGAAAGUCAGAUCCCUGAGGAGCUUGAGGGGGUUCUCGAAGGUUCUAGAACAAUCCACACACUGGUUCCUGAAGACCAGGCCAUGUGCCAGGAAACCAGCAGCCAGGUUCAUGCAGGGAAAGAUGGCCAAAGGGACAAGCUUCCAGGACCAGCUGGCCUGCUUGGACUGGAAUCCUGCCUCUGCCCCUUCCUUCAGGCAUUUUGGAGACAUGCAUCUGUAGCUCUAAAUGGGCAUCCUCUGGCUCAGUCAUUCAAUUCUGGCGGCUGGUGAGGCGGGGGUCCGCUGUGCAACCCCACAGGACGUGAGAAGGACAAGUCACUGGGGACCGGGACCAUGACCAGGGCCACAGAUACGGAGUAUGGAGGGGACCAGCAGCCCUGUGUCCAGGACUUGCUUCCAGACAGUGGUCUGCUGGAAGGCAGGGUGACAAGGAUGCCGUAGAAAUCGGUCAGAAGGGCUGGGGAUUUAGCUCAGCGGCACAGCGCCUGCCUGGAAAGCGCAGCGUCGUGAGUUU